UUUUUUUCUUCUUUUUUAGUUGGAUUACAUCUGCCUCUGAUCCUUUUCUGCUAAAUAUGUUUUGAUACAAUAGUCCCUUGCAGCCACACUAGGGUUUGUUGUCUUGGUUUGCCGCCCUCGGACGUCUUGUUCAACCCGACCUCUGUGGAUAUUGGGAUUGUAAUACUACACUGAAUGUUUAUUAAUACCCCUGAAGAAUGCCUUGGUGAAACAUGUUGGGAGAAUUUGCCAUUAAAUCUAAUUCAGUGUAUUAAAUCAUGUAUUGAUCAAUAUUAGCAUUAUAUCAAUUUGUAAAGAAUACAUUUUGUCUUCUUUUAAAUUGAAUUAAUCCUUGUGUUGUGACUUGUUAGGGACCGUUAUAAUCCCCCCCAUUUCCCUUCCUUACUUUGUUACCCAUUGUAUAGGGAUGAGGUGCCGGAUCCCAUAGAGGACACACCAGCUACUUUCACCUGAUAACCACUAAGUCUCUGUGCUGCUUCCUAUUUUCUAUUCUCUUAUAGGAUAGGGGAAUCAUCUACUGCAUAAAGGGGGCAAACCUCUUUUGU